CAAUAGUUUUCUAUCCUAUUAUUGCAUUAAAAUGGAAGAUAUAAUCAUUGAUCAUAUUUUAAAUAGUGAUGAUGAUGAUAGUGAUGAUAACGAUAGUACUGAUGGUCUGUGUUCACCAAGGCUCAGAUGUCCUUGAAUUUCCAGACCAAGAAGGAAUUGGUUUGAUUUAUUCGAUGAAACGGAUUUUUAUGCCAGAUUUCGGCUACCAAAACGCCGUCUUUAGCAAUUACUUAACGUAAUUGAACCAGAAAUAGUACAAAAUACUGAUAAAAAUAAUGCUGUACCUCCAAUGAUUCAAUUACUGGUAGCAGUCCGUUUUCUGGCAACUGGAUCAUUUUAUGUAACAAUGGCUGAUUUCUGUGGAAGCAGUAAAACUACUGCACGCAACAUCAUUCAUAAAGUGUCGAGAGCAAUAGCUAGAUUACGACGAUACUUUAUAGUAUUUCCAUCAACGCCGGCGGAAAUUUGUUGAUUUUAAAGAGAAAAUUUCCAAACUGCUGGAUUUAUGAGAGUAAUUGGAGCUGUUGACUGUGCUUACAUAAAAGGACAAUCAUAUGGUGGAGACGAUGCAGAACUUUAUCGCAACCGGAAAAGUUUUUUUUUCCCAUUAACGUCCAAGUCAUCACAAAUUCUCGCUUACAAAUAUUAGAUAUUAUAGCACAUUGGCCUGGUUUAACCCACGAUGCCACAAUUUUUGAUUUUUCUGAAAUUGAAGCGCGUUUUGAAGAUGGAGAGUUUGGAAAUGCUUUAUUAGUUGGAGAUUCGGGUUAUCUAAAUCUGCCAUACCUAAUGACACCUUUAAAUAAUCCAUUGACAGCAGCAGAAACUCUAUAUAAUGAGUCUCAAAUUCGGACAAGGUCCAUGAUCGAAAGAUGUUUUGGUAUCUGGGGCAGGAAGUUUGCCGUCUUAACUAUAGGAUCACGUUGUCACAAUAUUCAGUCAACGUUUUCUAUGAUAAUAGCAUCGGUAGUAUUGUAUAAUAUUUACAGGUUGGAUGAUAUAACAUCUACCAUUAAUCCUCAAAUAUAUGAUACAAUUGUUCCAAAUCAGAAUAAUCUUCCAUUACAUGUUGACGAGCGUCAACAUAUGUUAGAUAUUUAUUUUCAAAGGUAUUUAAUAAAUAAUGGAUAAUUUUUAAUUAUCGUAUAAUGCAUGUAAUUUCUUUCAGAUUGAUAUAAACUUAAUCAAUUGGAUUUGGUUAUAUUUCUAGUUGGUUUUUCAAUGUUUUCAACUAUUUUUGUUUUAUCUUUUGUUUUUCAU